CGAGUAGGCGGAUCUGCAAGUCAGAUGUGAAAUCCCGGGGCUCAACCCCGGAACUGCAUUUGAAACUGUAGACCUUGAGUGAUGGAGAGGCAGGCGGAAUUCCCGGUGUAGCGGUGGAAUGCGUAGAUAUCGGGAGGAACACCAGUGGCGAAGGCGGCCUGCUGGACAUUAACUGACGCUGAGGAGCGAAAGCGUGGGGAGCAAACA
rnacentral:rRNA from 1 species